rnacentral:lncRNA from 1 species
GACAAAUAAAAUGUACUCACUAUAUUUUUGGUGUUUUUAUUUGUUUUACAUUGGGAACUAAAAUACUAGCACAUGCUAACAUGAGAAACAAGGAAAACUACAAGACAACAACACAUAUAUGUUCAGCAACUAGUAUGAAAGAGAAGAAUUAAGAUCAAGGGACAAGAACAGAAGUACUUCACAUCACAAGCAUAUAUAUAUAUAUAUAUAUAUAUAUAUAUAUAUAUAUAUUCACACGUACAUAGCUAACACAGGGACUAAGAAUUAAAGAUGUUCAAACUACUCACUUUACAGAGAGCACAAACAGCACAAAAAUAGACAAGUAAGCUAGGUUCUUACAAAUCACUAGUUGAUAAACAGAGCACUUAUAUUAAACAGUACUACUAGACAAAUCUGAACACAUGCCAUACAAAUCUCAAUUCUAAACAUUACAAAAUACUGAACAUUAUACUACUCAAGAUUACAGAAAUUAGAGAGAGAGAGAGAGAAACAACAGCAGCAAGUUGGGGGAGUUGAGCGGAGGAGCAGCAGCAGUAGGUUCAGAGAAAGAGUAGCAGUAGGUUCGGAGAAGGAGCGGUAGCAAGGUUUGGGAAGAUGAGGCAGCAGGGGAAAGGAGUAGCAGCAAUGUAGAGGCGCUGAGGAAAGUAGUAGCAGUAUGGGGUUCAGAGUACGCCGUGGGAGAAGAAGGGCUGUCGGAGCAGCAUUAGCAUGGAGGUGAGGAAGAAGAAAGGAAACAGCAGCAAGGGGAAGAAGAAGAGCAGUAGUAGGGUUAGAAGAAGAAGAAAGGUGGAGGAGCAGCAGUAGGGUUAGGAGAAGAAGAAAGGUGGAGGAGCAGCAGGGAGAUGGGUGGCGAGGCGACUCUGGUGGCGGCGUUGAUGGAGGCGCGGUGGUGGAUUGGGCGCUGAUGGUGGUGCAGGUGGAUGGUGGCGAAGAUGGCGCUGGUGAUGGCGUGGUGGAUGGUGCAAAGCAAGUGGAUGGAUGGCUGUGUGGCGCUGGCGGCGGCGUGGAGAUGGAUUGGUGUUGGUCGAUGCUGGUGAUGACGCGGUGGCACGGCGGGUGGUGGAGAUGGAGUGGAUAUUGGAGUGGUGACUGGAUGGAUGGCGCGCCGCCACGACGGCCUGGCCGCGACGGCGGCCGGAGGGUGGAGAAGAAGGGGAUCAGGGGAGAGAGAUGGAGAUAUGCCAGGCCCGAUGGGGAUCGGCAGCCGCUAGGGAUUUUGACCCCUCCUCUGAUCUGCCACUUUGCAAUUUUGGCCCUUCUCCUUUUCUUCUUUCUUCACAAGAAGGUCCCUUUCUUCUUUAACUUGUCCCCUGGAGCAUCAUUUCUUCACACACAAGUCCCUCUGUCUUUCUUCUUUAUUUUCACUUGACUGGUUCUCUUAACCACUAGUCCGGAUCUUGAAGUUUAUAGUGCCUUUGCACACUUUUCUGCAAAACAAAAAAAUGACUAGUAAAUGAUUUUUUAUAUGAUUAUCAUUCACAAAUUCAACAAUUGAUAGCAAGAAAUGAAUGAAUAAAACUCAAUAAACCAAAUAUUUGAUUGCCAAAAGAUGUAUGUGAAAUGUGUUGAUCAAGUUCCCCCACACUUAAAUCUUUGCUUGUCCUCAAGCAAAGGUAGAUGACAAGAGCAAGAAUAUGAACAGUGAGCUGAGUAAAGCAUGUCCUGGUAAAAUAGAUCUCCAAACAAUGCAUGCUUUGGACUUAGCUAGUGAAAAUUGAUGGUUAAGAGUGCUACAAAGCAGUAGGAUACUAGUAAGCAUGACCAUUUUAAACUUUUACAAUGAUAAAAGAGGAUCAACAGGUUUAAACGAUGACUGCGCCAAAUGGUUCCUAAAGAGAGCAUGAUUCCGAGAACAAAAAGAACUGGAAUUAAAUAUCUUAUUUACAAAAAUAUAACUUUGUGGUUGAACCACUUAUUGAAUUUGAAGAAAGUAAUGAUAAUAUUUUAUCAGUCUUACAAAAGGAACAUGCCACCGAUCCCGAGAACAUGGUAUACACCUGGCUCGACCAAUUAUUAGUUAGUUUUUUUGUUUGUCUCCCCAAAGGAACAUACCACCGAUCCAGAGAACAUGGUAUACACCUGGUUCGACAAUUACAUUUUUAUUUAUUUAUUACUGUCCAAGCUACCAGAUUUCACAUGCCACCGAUCUAGGGAACAUGACAUGCUACUGUAGGUAGACCAGACUUAUUUAUUCAUUAUUACCUAUCUUAAAUGGACAACACAUAAGCACAAAAACAGGAAUCAUCACUUCUCCAUGUCUGGUUCACAUGCUACCGAUCCAGGGAACAUAGCAUGCUAAUCCAUAGUGGUUAGGUAAUUGCUCUCAAUGGGAACACACUUAGCACAAAUUCAGCAUCUAAACAUGGUGAUCUAGGUGUAUCAUAGUAAAUGCAGAAAAUGAUUAAGUUUUCUAGUGUACUAGGGAUUUGAGCACUCAAAACUAAUAGCUUCCACUACUUUCAGCAAAGCAAGCAUUGUAUAGAUCACUAGUUUACAAGGCAUUCAACACUCAGUUCACAUAUUCACAUCAAUCACCCUAUGUCGAAGGUAAAAUUCAGUGGGACGAUAUUUAAGAAAUUGCUCAAGCGACCCAAAUAGCAGUUGAUUACAGCAUGUAUAAUGUAUGAUGGUAUUCAGAUUGGGGUCAUGAAACAGCUCACUGGGAUUAUAUGAUGUAGGUCUCGCUCGAUCACUCUCACAUCCUCGUGCAUUGCGACUCCUCUCCUUUUGCUUCCUCAUGCAUGCUCCAGCUUCACUCUUCUUCGUGUGUGCUCCUUGCUUCUCCUCGUCACCAUGCCUUGAAUCCACCGGGGUCCCAAGGGAUGUCACCUGGAACCUGGUCAGCAUGUAGUAAAUGGUGCAGUAGAAAAAACCUGAAAGAACACUCCACAAAUGAUACAAUGCAAGCGGUAGGGAUAAUACCCUCCAAGUCAUCAAUCGAGUGUCCAAUUACAUAAGCAUAGCUAUAAAGCACAUGUUUAGGAUGGUAUAAAUCAGUAAGCUCAGUGCUAGCUUGAGGAUGAUAUGAAUCAUUAAGCUCCAGACUAGCAUGGGGAAAAUAAGUGUCAUCAUCAUAAAUGAGAGAAAUGCCAAUAACAGAGUAUGUAUGAUCAUGUUCAAGCAAACAUUUUUUCAAGUCUUGCUUAAUUGAUGGUAUCAUGCAAUGCAAAAUAGAAGCAAAGAAACCAUAAGGGAGCAUGUCAUCAAGAGGAUUGGGUAAACCUGACACCUCACGCUCAUGUAUGACAAUAGGCCAAUGAAUCUCAAGUUCUUCAUCUUCAUCUACAAUAGCUUCUUGUACUUCUUCAGGAGUAGUAGAUGAUGAAUCUUCAACUUGAUCACUUUGGAAUUGCAGCUCUUGAUCAUCUUGUUCCUUGGCUUCGAGUAUUUCUUCUCGGAUAUGAAGUAUCUCUUCCUCUGGACUCUCGCUAUCUUGCUCAGCUGAAUGUGAAGGUGUUGGAACCUCACAUGUAUCAAGGGAUAUCCCAGGAAUACUUAGCUCUAGCUGUGAAGAAAUAGUGCUGCCAGCAUUGAUAUUCUUCUCAAUUUUCCUUACUUCUUCCACUAGCUCUUUUCCACUUUUGAUCUUCUUCAUUUCGUCUAGUAUCACCGGCCUAAUUGGAUCAUCUUUAGCACUCCAAGUGAACUCGAGACUAAGCAAUGUGAGCUUGUCUAUAUCAUCAAAAUCAUCUUGUGUGGGCACUUGUGUCGAAGGUGUUGGUUGACCAAAUGGAGGACCAUUUAACUCCAUUGGCAACAUCUCCAGGUGUUGAGGUAUAUGAGUAGGAGGUGAAUAGAAUUGUUGUGGUGCAUAGUUGUUGCUCUCCUCUUCAUACCUAAAUCCCUGCAUAUGAUUACUAGAAGCAAACGGUGAGAUCUCAAGGUUGUUGCUCCUGUAUGACAUAUUCUGGUUUUCAGGCCACUCAUAUGAGUAAUUGUUUUGGUAUGAGCUAGGCUGUGGGGCGAAGCUCAGGCCAUAACAAUCGGGAGGGUGAGAGUAACCACACUGACAUUCAGCGGGUGAAUGGCCCUGAAAUCCACAAAUAUGGCAAGUAGGAGCAACAUAAGGAUAGCCUCUAGAAUAAGGAUCAUAAGAGCUAGGCCUAUCCUCAAAAACUAUUUCUCGCUGCCAAGCUAAAUCAUCUAAUCGAUGGGAAAUCUUACUUAUCAAGUCUUGAAUACUUUCUGUGCUGUUUGUAGUGUUGCUCGCAAAAGCUUGAUGAUCUGAAUAGUAAGCCAUAUUUGAGAAGAUGCAAUAAACUGCAGAAUGACCAAGCAAAGAAAGAGAAAAUAACUUGAACAAGGGUUAGGGGUUAGAGAUAUAUCACACAUAUAGCACAAAGGGAAAAACAAGAAAAACCUAGUCUAUAGCCUAACACAAUCGCUCGACGCUAGUCCCCGGCAACGGCGCCAAAAUGAUCGAUUGUAAGUACAGUGGGGUUUUUACGCCCAAAACUGCGAGUGUCGUGUUCCCCACAGGGACUAGGCGACGACAGUCGUGCUCGGCUAAAGCUAGAUCAGACGGAAAGGUUUUUGAUAUCGCAAGACAAACGAAAGUAAAGCAAGUUUGUACCAGAAAAUCCUUGACAAAUAAAAUGUACUCACUAUAUUUUUGGUGUUUUAUUUGUUUUACUUUGGGAACUAAAAUACUAGCACAUGCUAACAAGAGAAAUAAGGAAAACUACAAGACAACAACACAUAUAUGUUCAACAACUAGUAUGAAAGAGAAGAAUUAAGAUCAAGGGACAAGAACAUAAGUACUUCACAUCACAAGCAUAUAUAUAUUCACACGUACAUAGCGAACACAAGGACUAAGAAUUAAAGAUGUUCAAACUACUCACUUGACAGAGAGCACAAACAGCACAAAAAUAGACAAGUAAGCUAGGUUCUUACAAAUCACUAGUUGAUAAACAGAGCACAUAUAUUGAACAGUACUACUAGACAAAUCUGAACAACACAUGCCAUACAAAUCUCAAUUCUAAACAUUACAAAAUACUGAACAUUAUACUACUCAAGAUUACAGAAAUUAGAGAGAGAGAGAGAGAAACAGCAGCAGCAAGUUGGGGGAGUUGAGCGGAGGAGCAGCAGCAGUAGGUUCAGAGAAAGAGUAGCAGUAGGUUCAGAGAAGGAGCGGCAGCAAGGUUUGGGAAGAAGAGGCAGCAGGGGAAAGGAGUAG